rnacentral:rRNA from 1 species
AAUUAGCCUCUUAAUUGGGGGAUAGUAUGAAUGGUAAUAUUGACCAGAUCCUAAUUUUUAUAUUGUGAAUUUUGAGUAAAGGUGAAAAUUCCUUUAUAAUAAUUUUAGACAAAAAGACCCUAUGAAGCUUACAAUGAAUAUAUAACAAAUUAAUUAAGAAUUGUUUCUUUGGGGAAAAGGUUAACGAUUGUAUUUUUAGAGUGUAAGAUCCUGAUAAGAA